rnacentral:ncRNA from 2 species
GCACAGACAUGGGGCGCUGGUUCCUGUCCUAUGACAGGCUAAGAGGGAAUGCGACAGGCAACCGCCUGAAAGCAGCCGCCCCCGCGACCGUGACCGGAAAGGUCGCCCCUCUGCCACUGGCGAAAGCCGGGAAGGCGGGGCGGCCGUGGGCCCAGGCCCGAAUCCGCAAGCCGGGAGACCUGCCGGUGCAGAAGGAUUGAC